rfam:Triticum aestivum genome assembly, contig: Triticum_aestivum_CS42_TGACv1_scaffold_669985_T_6DS-0.080524_2DL-0.040919
UCCACUAUUCAGUUGGUAGAGUAUAAAGCUCUUAACCUUGUGGACGUGGGUUCAAGCCCCAUGGUGGAG